rnacentral:lncRNA from 1 species
GGGGGGGCCGCGGGGAGGUGAGCACAGUGCUGACCCGCGUCGCGGUGCCGCCCGGCAGGUACAGCACCUGGGAGCCCGAGGAGAACAUCCUGGACUCCCGCCUCAUCGCAGCCUUCGAGCAGAAGGAGCGCGAGCGGGAGCUGUACGGGCCCAAGAAGAGAGGACCGAAGCCCAAAACUUUUCUGCUGAAGGUAACUCUUAUUUACAUCCCUCCGGCCUAGCGCGGCACCCCCAGCCCCUCGCCGUGCCCUCAGCGCUUGGCCUGAGCCGGGGGCGGCGGGGCCCCCUCACGGCCUCUCCCCUCGUGGCCCCUUCCCUCGGCACGCCGUUCCCCACGCCCCGCUCGCUGUGGGAGCUCCCAUCUGUGAGCUGCAGGCACUGGGGAAGGAGCGGUGCUUCGGUGCCCCGGUAGAUCCCUCGUCGUCGUCCCAGCCUGCUUGCAGUAAGGUAGUCCCAGUGCAGCCCUGACCCCUCGAUUUUAUUCUUUUUUUAAACUAAGAAAUGUGUUAGCUGGGGGAGUGCUGUGGGUUCAUUAGCCCGAAGGCAGAGCUGCGUGCUUUGCUCCCUUCUCCUUCCACGAGCAUUGCGGGUUCAGAUGAACUCGGACAACGCGCCUCAGCAUGACUGAGACAGGUAAGGGAGAUCAUAGUAUUGAUCCCGUAUGAAACACUGGAACAGCUGUGCGGUGAGGUAUCUCCAUCACCAGCUCUGUCUGUGGCUCAGAGCAAGUCCUCAUCCCUUUGUGCGUGUUUCCCCAAUGGGUUAACGCUCCCCUCUGCCUGGCAGCAGCAGGAGCUUCACUCCACUUAGCCUAGUGCUUGGACUGAGUGAGAGGGGUAGGAUGUCGUCUCUGCUUCCUGAAACACGUGGGGGGAAAUGUGGGAAUGGGCGCAUGCUGAUGCCCUGAGCAAAACCCAGGGGACACGGUAAUCCCCUGAAAGUCCCUCCUUCAGUGUCCUCCGCCUGUUUUUCUGCUAACAGCUUUCUGCAUAUGCAACCCGAAAGCUACAGACGCAACUGAUGGGUGCACCUCGUAAUCUUUGUGCAGGGAAGCUGGGCUAGGUGGUUUUUCUGGCAGUCAUGCAUUAAGUGAAACCCUGGUGUUUAGGUUUCCAACAAUGCAAAGGAAAGCUGAAAGGGAAACCACCGCCUUAAAAUAGUUCUCUGCUUGAAUUAAAAAGCGCUGGGAUUCAUAACACCUGACAUCGUUCAGCGGUAGGGAAGUGUUGUCUUUGUUUAUUCUGUGCUUUUGACACUACUGUGUAUAAUCAGUUUCUUUUCUUUUGAUUCUGAGUGGAGUGUGGAAAAAUCUAUCGCCAAUUUUUCAUUCUCAUUCGCACAACAACAAAAUCCAUUAAAAAAAAAGAAAAAAAGCAAGAAAAAAAACAAAACCUCGUUCCUCCUCUUCUCCC